rnacentral:lncRNA from 1 species
UGGCAUAUAAAUCAGCCUCCUUAUCAUUGAUGGGCAUGUGGCAAGCAAUUCUGUAAAGAUUUGAAUUCUGGGUAGUUAUAUAUUUACAAUCCAGAAACGGAAGGAUGAUCAUGGUAGAUCUAAAUCCAAAUAAAAAAGAAGAUGAUGGCUCAUAAGGAGGGAGUUAGGUGUCAUCCCUUGAUUUUUACCUCUAACUAUAACAGAUCCUUGCUUUAGACCUAUAUUAACAGGACCAAGAGACCCCA